rnacentral:rRNA from 1 species
CAGUCGCCGCGGGAAUACAGAGGGUGCGAGCGUUAAUCGGAUUUACUGGGCGUAAAGCGUGCGUAGGCGGCUUUUUAAGUCGGAUGUGAAAUCCCUGAGCUUAACUUAGGAAUUGCAUUCGAUACUGGGAAGCUAGAGUAUGGGAGAGGAUGGUAGAAUUCCAGGUGUAGCGGUGAAAUGCGUAGAGAUCUGGAGGAAUACCGAUGGCGAAGGCAGCCAUCUGGCCUAAUACUGACGCUGAGGUACGAAAGCAUGGGGAGCUAACAGGAUUAGAUACCCCUGUAGUCCCUGUCUCUUAUAC